AUAACAAAUUAAAUAUUCAUAAAUAACAACAAAUUCAUUCUUUUCUUCAGUAUUUGAAUUAUUACAAUUAAUCCCUUUGUAAUUACAAUAUUUUAAAAAACACAUCUAAAUAAUGAAGUCUCAUUUCAUUUAAAUAACCAAUCACAUAAUGCUAUAAAUAGGAUGUUUCCCUCAAAUUGUUUUGAUACAAAAUACAGUGUAUAGAAAAGCAGAAAUGAUUGAUUCAUCUAAAAACUUAAGACAGGAUAAGAAUCUUAUGUUUAAUAUUUCAUUAUACCACUGAAAGGAAUUAUUAUUUAAAAAAAAAAAAAUAAAUAAAAAAUAUUUCUCUUUAUAAAAAAUCUAAGGAUUGGUAUUUGUAGUACAUUUAUUUAAUAAUUUGGAAAUUCAUAAUUAUUUUUUAAUUUCGCUCAAAUUUUUUGGACUAUUAAAAAAGUAAAGUACAACAUUUAAAUUUACCUGAAAUGAUUAAGAGUCUGAUGAACUCUGUAUUAAACACAUAUUUUAUCUUAUUGUUCAUAAUAUGCUCUCUACUAUUUAUGACAUCUAAUCAAUAUAUUUUGUCAAAUUUUUCUAUAAAAAAUACAAGAUAUAUAUUUCUGAGAUCUGAUUUAAAAAAAAAUCAUUGUUAGUUUAUAACAAUUCUAAAUUAUCUAAACUUUUAAAAAUACCAUGAUUUCUUUCUAAUACAAAGGUUCUACAUGAGUGUGAUUCAAUUAUCCCAUUGAUAGUAAAAUACUGGACAUUAAAAUCUCAAAGAGAAGAAAUAUUGUAUCGCACAAUAUAAGGUGGUGGAAUCUGUUUCUCUGGUGAUUUUUAGAUGAUAUGUAGACAAUCUUCAAUUAAUUUAUCAAUAUUUCUUUUAAGUGAUUUGCUGUUUUUUAUGAGACUUCAUCUGGCAUGGUACCAUUAUUUGGAAAUAAAGAAAAUUUCUCAAGAAUAAAAUUUCAAAGUUAAAUACACCUGUUGAUUAUAACAAAAUAAGUCUAGGCCUCCGGGAAAGUAUACUGAUAAACCGGCUUAGAAGGAGAGUAAAAAAUUACAAUAAGCUCAUUGAUAUAAAAAAAAAUCUAAUAAAUAUAUUUUACACAUAAAAAUAAGUCUUCACAGAUGUACAAUCAAUAUAUGAGACAAUAUCUGAAAAAGUCUAAUUUCCAUGUCCCUCACUUCACCAGCAAUUAUUUUUUUAUUCAACCAUCUUUUUUGAAAAUUUUAAGUUUCAGCAUAAACUAAAUUAUAUAAUGCACCAACUCCGGUCAUUUAAACACUCAGUCUUAUAUU
rnacentral:lncRNA from 1 species